UUACGGCCACAUCACAUUGAACCACAGGUUCUCGUACGAUCACUGAUGUUAAGGUAAGUCGAACCUAUUCCGUACCUAGAUGGAUGACCGCUUAGGAAUACCAGGUGCUGUAGG